UGGAGAGUUUGAUCCUGGCUCAGAUUGAACGCCGCCGCCUAGGCCUAACAAAUCCAAGUCGAGCGGCAGCGGGAAAGUAGCUUGCUACUUUUGCCGGCGAGCGGCGGACGGGUGAGUAAUGCCUGGGGAUCUGCCCAGUCGAGGGGGAUAACAGUUGGAAACGACUGCUAAUACCGCAUACGCCCUACGGGGGAAAGGAGGGGACCUUCGGGCCUUUCGCGAUUGGAUGAACCCAGGUGGGAUUAGCUAGUUGGUGGGGUAAUGGCUCACCAAGGCGACGAUCCCUAGCUGGUCUGAGAGGAUGAUCAGCCACACUGGAACUGAGACACGGUCCAGACUCCUACGGGAGGCAGCAGUGGGGAAUAUUGCACAAUGGGGGAAACCCUGAUGCAGCCAUGCCGCGUGUGUGAAGAAGGCCUUCGGGUUGUAAAGCACUUUCAGCGAGGAGGAAAGGUUGGCGCCUAAUACGUGUCAACUGUGACGUUACUCGCAGAAGAAGCACCGGCUAACUCCGUGCCAGCAGCCGCGGUA
rnacentral:rRNA from 1 species